rnacentral:rRNA from 1 species
GGAGGGGAGCUAGCGUUGUUCGGAAUCACUGGGCGUAAAGGGCGCGUAGGGCGGCCGAGUAAGUCGUGUGUGAAAGACCGGGGGCUCAACUCCGUGUACUGCAUGCGAUACUGCCCCGGCUAGAGAAAGGUAGAGGCGAGUGGAAUUCCCGGUGUAGCGGUGGAAUGCGUAGAUAUCGGGAAGAACACCUGUGGCGAAGGCGGCUCGCUGGGCCGUUUUCUUGACGCUGAAGUGCGAAAGCGUGGGAGGUAAACAGGAGUUAGAUACCCUGGUAGUCCACGCCGUAAACGAUGGGCACUAGGCGUUGGGAGGAUUGACCCUCUCAGUGCCGUAGCUAACGCGUUAAGUGCCCCGCCUGGGGAGUACGGCCGCAAAGGCUG